rnacentral:misc_RNA from 1 species
UACUCCCACGAAUUUCAAUGUUUAAGAGAGCAUUUAGUCCAUCUUCCAAUGAUCCCAAUAAGCACGCAUCCAGUGUGCAUGGAAGCCCACAAACAAGAAAUUUCAUGGUCACAUCAUCAUCAUAUAUCUUUAUAGCAGGAAGUGACCCAGAAGAACUUUCUUCAUCCUGAACAUCCGCCUCAGGAAGAGUAAUGUCAAUCUUUGGUGGAUCCCCAAGUAAGCGUGGUCCAGGUUUACCACUAACUUUUUGGCCAUUGGAAGUUAAGACACUGUUGUUUCUGACACAGUAGAGCCUAAAGNNNNNNNNNNGUGGGAAUGCAUCACACGUAUGGCUGCAAGAACUUUGUACCACUGACAAUAGAGCUUGACGAAAGUGUGAAGCUGCAUAACAUGAAAGUGUAUUUUUCC